GAUGAACGCUGGCGGCGUGCCUAAUACAUGCAAGUCGAGCGAACAGACGAGGAGCUUGCUCCUCUGACGUUAGCGGCGGACGGGUGAGUAACACGUGGAUAACCCACCUAUAAGACUGGGAUAACUUCGGGAAACCGGAGCUAAUACCGGAUAAUAUAUUGAACCGCAUGGUUCAAUAGUGAAAGACGGUUUUGCUGUCACUUAUAGAUGGAUCCGCGCCGCAUUAGCUAGUUGGUAAGGUAACGGCUUACCAAGGCAACGAUGCGUAGCCGACCUGAGAGGGGGGUCGGCGACACUGGAGCUGGGACGCGGUCACGGCUCCUACGGGAGGCAGCAGUAGGGAAUCUUCCGCAAUGGGCGAAAGCCUUACGGAGCAACGCCGCGUGUGUGGUGACGGUCUUCGGAUCGUAAAACUCUGUUAUUAGGGAAGAACAAAUGUGUCAGUAACUAUGCACGUCUUGACGGUACCUAAUCAGAAAGCCCCGGCUAACUACGUG
rnacentral:rRNA from 1 species